CCUCCCCUUUCAUUCAAUACUUAGUGCUAGGGAUGCUCCCUCCAUCUCCAUGACAUGCUGGUUGCAAAUACUUUUAUCUCGGUGAGGAAAGCAGGCUGGAGAACGCAUAUGAUCACACGGACCAUCCAAGACACCACUCCUCAGAAAUCAACAACGCACACAAAAGCAGUCACUUCUAGACCUAGAGUACAAGACACAACCUUUCCCUGAUGUGUAGUAGCAGCAAUGAAAGGCAAGAUCCUGUCCUGUGACAAACCCCAAUCUAGUUAAUACUGACUGCUGAAUCUACCAACUCUGCCAUUUAACAGGAUAUAAUUUAAGUCGUCACUAUCCAUAAGUGGAUGCCACAGGAGAAAUGGCUAGAUCCACUGGACUUUGCCCAGGACCAUAUUUAUGUCCUCCUUGGUAUAAAUCACAAUGCUUAGAGAGUUUUCCUUACAAGAUAUCAACCUGACUGUUACGUGAGGUCAUGAACAAUUGAGAGGCAACUGGUUCAGAAAUGCCAGGAAGGACAGCUUUUCAAGUCACAGCUCUGUCACAUCCUUUGUAUUCAUGGACAAUUUCCUUUGCAAGUUAACAUUUAUCUACCUUCUGAUAAGAAUAAAGAGAACUUCACAUUGCUGCUGUCCUGUAAAAAUCUUAGUCUAAUAUAAUAGCAACCAGUAAAGGGUUCCCUUUUUGGAAAAAUCAAGAAGGACAUCAGGCUUUGCAGUCACACUUCCCUUGUGUGAACCAUGCCGCUGCUGUUAUUGCUAUAGUCUAAGGGCUGUAAUAUUAAUAAGCUUUCA